AUUGAACGCUGGCGGCAGGCCUAACACAUGCAAGUCGAACGGUAACAGGAAACAGCUUGCUGUUUCGCUGACGAGUGGCGGACGGGUGAGUAAUGUCUGGGAAACUGCCUGAUUGAGGGGGAUAACUACUGGAAACGGUAACUAAUACCGCAUAACGUCGCAAGACCAAAGAGGGGGACCCUUUGGCCUCUUGCCAUCGUAUGUGCCCAGAUGUGAUUAGCUUGUUUGUGGGGUAACGGCUCACCAAGGCGACGAUCCCUAUCGGGUCUGAGAGGAUGAACAGCCACACUGGAAAUGAGACACGGUCCAGAAUCCUACGGGAGGCAGCAGUGGGGAAUAUUGCACCAUGGGGGGCAGGCUGAUGCCGGCAUGCCGGGUGUAUGAAGGAGGCCUUCGGGUUGUAAAGUACUUUUAGCGGGGAGAAAGGGAGUAAAGUUAAUACCUUUGCUCAUUGAAGUUAACCGAAGAAGAAGCCACGGCUAACUUCGUG
rnacentral:rRNA from 1 species